UUUAAAUGAGCUUCAACAUGCUUUCUCUUCUGCAAUGGAGUCGUGCGUGGUGAGUGUGUAUACAGGUCAUGGUGGUUGGGUGCCUUACUCUAUAUCCGGACUAU